rnacentral:rRNA from 1 species
CGCUGGCGGCGUGCCUAAUGCAUGCAAGUCGAACGAGGACCACACAGCGGGUAACCGUUGAGUGGGGCCUAGUGGCGAACGGGUGAGUAUCACGUGAGGAACCUGCCCCGGAGACCCGGGAUAGCCCAGGGAAACUUGGAUUAAUACCGGAUACCCUCGGAUGGUCGCAUGUCCAACCGAGGAAAUGGUCCGCUGCUCCGGGAUGGCCUCGCGGCCUAUCAGCUUGUUGGUGAGGUAACGGCUCACCAAGGCGACGACGGGUAGCUGGUCUGAGAGGACGAUCAGCCACACUGGGACUGAGACACGGCCCAGACUCCUACGGGAGGCAGCAGCAGGGAAUAUUGCACAAUGGGCGCAAGCCUGAUGCAGCGACGCCGCGUGAGGGAUGAAGGCCUUCGGGUUGUAAACCUCUUUCAGGAGGGACGAAGCGCAAGUGACAGUACCUCCAGAAGAAGCCCCGGCCAACUACGUG